rnacentral:rRNA from 1 species
UACGGAGGGAGCUAGCGUUGUUCGGAAUUACUGGGCGUAAAGCGCACGUAGGCGGCUUUGUAAGUUAGAGGUGAAAGCCUGGAGCUCAACUCCAGAAUAGCCUUUAAGACUGCAUCGCUUGAAUCCAGGAGAGGUGAGUGGAAUUCCGAGUGUAGAGGUGAAAUUCGUAGAUAUUCGGAGGAACACCAGUGGCGAAGGCGGCUCACUGGUCCGGUACUGACGCUGAGGUGCGAAAGCGUGGGGAGCAAACAGG